CCUACGGGCGGCAGCAGUGAGGAAUAUUGGUCAAUGGGCGGGAGCCUGAACCAGCCAAGCCGCGUGAGGGAAGAAGGUACAGCGUAUCGUAAACCUCUUUUGUCAGGGAACAAAGGCGGGGACUAGUCCCCGGAUGAGGGUACCUGAAGAAAAAGCAUCGGCUAACUCCGUGCCAGCAGCCGCGGUAAUACGGAGGAUGCGAGCGUUAUCCGGAUUUAUGGGGUUGAAAGGGUGCGCAGGCGGCCUGUUAAGUCAGCGGUAAAAGCCCGGGGCUCAACCCCGGCGAGCCGUUGAAACUGGCGGGCUGGAGUUGGAGAGAAGUACGCGGAAUGCGCGGUGUAUCGGUGAAAUGCUUAGAUAUCGCGCAGAACCCCGAUUGCGAAGGCAGCGUACCGGCUCCACACUGACGCUGAGGCACGAAAGCGUGGGUAUCGAACAGGAUUAGAUACCCUUGUAGUC
rnacentral:rRNA from 1 species